UACGUAGGGUCCAAGCGUUAAUCGGAAUUACUGGGCGUAAAGCGUGCGCAGGCGGUUUUGUAAGACUGUCGUGAAAUCCCCGGGCUUGACCUGGGAAUGGCGAUGGUGACUGCAAGGCUAGAGUUUGGCAGAGGGGGGUAGAAUUCCACGUGUAGCAGUGAAAUGCGUAGAUAUGUGGAGGAACACCGAUGGCGAAGGCAGCCCCCUGGGUCAAAACUGACGCUCAUGCACGAAAGCGUGGGGAGCAAACAGG
rnacentral:rRNA from 1 species